UACGGAGGGUGCGAGCGUUGUCCGGAAUCACUGGGCGUAAAGGGCGCGUAGGCGGCAUGCCAAGCGUGUGGUGAAAGCCCGGGGCUCAACCCCCGGGUCGGCCGUGCGGACUGGCGUGCUCGAGCACUGUAGGGGCGGGUGGAAUUCCGGGUGUAGCGGUGGAAUGCGUAGAGGAUCCGGAAGAACACCGGUGGCGAAGGCGGCCCGCUGG
rnacentral:rRNA from 1 species